rnacentral:rRNA from 1 species
GGAUCAGUUGGUCGGUCGUGUCUUGGUACGUACUGGUCAAAUUGAUUCCUACCUUCUGACGAAUCACAAUGUCAUUAAUUUGGUGUCGUAGGAAAUCAGGACUGUUACUUUGAAAAAAUUAGAGUGUUUAAAGCAGGCUCACGCUUGAAUACAUUAGCAUGGAAUAAUGAAAUAGGACGUUUGAUUCUAUUUUGUUGGUUUCUAGGAUCGACGUA